rnacentral:lncRNA from 1 species
UUACUUUCAUAUGCGAUGAAAUGAUUUUGGUGGAAACAUUUUGGUCAUAUCUAAGGGCAAAUUGAAUCCACAUACUUCACGCUAUCCCAAAUUGUAAUGAUCAUGUCCUAAUCAAACAAAGCAUUCUGUUUCAGCGAAUGAUGAGGCUACACAGUUGUCAAAUACUUUCGUAACACUGAUAAACACAUCUUUCUGUUCAUAGCUUCGCAAUUUAGCACGUACGAUCGUUAGUGGCAUGGUGGCGUAUUAUUUCAUUAUAUGAGUUGACCUGAAAUGUCUUUAUUGUUUUAUUAUAAACCCAAUGAGAAGGUUCUCCUUAAAACACUCCUAGCUCCACACAUUAGUUUAUUUUUCAGAUGGAAUAUCUAUUUAUUCAUGGCGGGCAGAUUACUUGUAGAGAUAUCUCAAUAGAAUCUUAUGCAAGGUCUGCAAGAGGCUACUUGAAGUUCGCUUUUAAUGUAUACAAAAUGCCUGGCUGCUCCGAGGAAGUACAGCUGAUAUCUACAUUCCACACAUCUGCAUUUUAGACUAAAAAUCGCUACAUGAUCUGGUACUUCUACGUACUGCGAGCCAUUGAUCCAAAUAUUCUGCAAAACAAACCUCAAAAUCCACAAAGUUUAAGCGACUACAACAAUUUCUGAGUUAGCCAAAUAAUUUAUUGAAAAACUAUUUAUAUAUGCUUACAAAAAUGAUAAUUUUUCUUAGAAGAAGCAACAACAAUCUGAGAUAUAAUACAAUAAAUUUAAAGCAAUGUCCAAUAGUUAUCAAUGUUGCCAUGCAAAACAGCAGAUAAGACAUUGAGUAGCUGACCUUAGAUUUAGAAAAAAAUACUUAAUCAUCAGUAUUGACAUUGAUCACAGUGGUUGAAUAACUGACUAAUAAUUUGGUAGAGAAUCAAGAAUCACUGUUAACAGAUGUAUAUUUCAAUGAUUUAGCAUGUCUCAAAUUUAAUAUCAAAUUGACCUCCUUGGAAGCUGUUUAUGUACUGCAAUUUGUAUACGCUAGCCUCAGUAUCAAGCACAGAGUGAAAGUUAGCGGUAAGGUUAACACCAUUGGUCUGUUCUGAAAGGACUCCUGUUGAUCUGCGCUUGCAAAUAAAAAUGUUUUAUUUCUUUAAUUUUAUGUAAAUUUUGUGAGGAAGCUUAAGUACAGCUGAUAUCUACAUUCCACAUACAGUAUCUGCAUUGUAAAAGACAAAAUCGCUACAUGAUCUGGUACUUCCACCUAAUGCGAGUCAUUUAUUCUAAACUUCAGCAAAUCAAACUAUGUAAUACAAACAGCUCAAGCGAGUAGAGAAAAUUUCUGAUCUACCCAAAUAAUUUUAUAAAAGUUAUUGCUAGAUUUACAAAAAUUCCAUUUACUUUUUUGAUAGAAUCUGCUGCAACAGCUCUUGGAAGUAUAAUACAAUAAACAUAAAGCCCAAUAGCUUAUCAAUGUUGCCCAACAAAGCAGUGAAUAUAAUACUGGGUAGAGUAGCUGGCCUAAAUAGAGAAUAUCAACAUUAUCAGUAUUGACAUCAUCACAUUGGUUGAAUAGCUGACUAAUAAUUUCGUAGAGAAACGCCUCAGCGAGAAUCACUGUUAGCAGAUGUAUAUUUCAUUGAUUCAGCAUGUCUCAAAUUUAAUAUCAAAUUGACCUCUUUGGAAGCUGUUAUGUACUGCAAUUUAUAAACGCUGUAAUAUCUUGAGUCGCUAGGCUAGACUUGACACACAUAUCAAGCACAGAGCGAAAGUUAGCGAUAAGGUUAACGCCAUUGGUGUGUUCUCAAUGGACGCCUCCUGCGCUUGCAAAUGAUCACCACCACUGCCACCAAGAGGUAGAGAUUAUGGCCGUGAAUACCCACGAGAUUACCCGAGAGACUAUGGGCGUGACUAUGCCCCACCUCCAUCAUCUUCUUCCCGGUAUGAUAGAGCUCCACCAUCAUACGAUAGAGGCUACGAUAGAGGAUAUGACCGUGUUCCCUAUGAAAGACCUCCUUAUGAAAGACCAGCAGUUCGGCGAUAAAAUUUCAGACAACCGUUUUCCGCAGAGUUAUUCCGUUGUUUUAAUAUUUUAGACUUUGUAUAAUGUUUCCUAUAUUUGUUAUGAAAAAUAUCACCCAUAAUGGUAAUUGUAAAGAAAUUUGAUCUAAAUCUUGUGGCUUUAUUUUACUUAGGCAUAAAUUAUUUGGUAAUCUCUGUGUACUUAUGUAUAAGGUAAAUAUCAAGCUACAGUGCAUUGUAUAUUAUCAAGUGACAAGUUUACUUGAAAAAAAAAACAAAAACAGGAAUAAUGAACUAUACUUCACUGUCAUAUUGCAUGCAGCAAGUCCUCAUGCAGUUAGUUUAUUUUGCAUAAUUUUUAUUUUAUUUAUUAUUCUGCACUUGUUUUUUUAACUACAUUUCAGCUAGCCAUUGAUCUGUAUGUUCAUGUUAUAUUAAGCAAUCUCACAAAAUAAUGUAUCCUAUAAUGUAAGGUAGUAAUAUUGUUCAUGUUGCAUCAUUAAGCAAUCUCACAAAGUAAUGUAUCCUAUAAUGCGAGGUAGUAAUGUUGUUCAUUUUACAUUAAGCAAUCUCACAAAGUAAUGUAUCCUAUAAUGUGAGGUAGUAGUUUAAUGUUUUUUUCCUAGGUUAUUCUUUGUCUGUCUUUAUUCUUUGGCUGGUGUCAUUUUGUUAAUGUUUUGUAAAGUGAAACCAAGCAAACUGAUUACAUUGUACUGUACGUCAAAUUCGAUCUUGGGCAUGUAAUAAAAGUAACUUUUUGUGAAUUUGUUAAAAAAAUGAAA